AGGCCUUUAAAAAAGAAGAAAGCAUAUUCUGAGGACAUUAACUUACAUAUAAUAAGGUACGUGAGCAGAGACGGAAGUUGAGAGGAUGAAGGGAAAACACAAAGAAACAUCUGUGACAUCAUUUUUCUUGCUGAAGGUCUCUGAUGGACUAGAGGCGCCAGAGUUCUGCUCCCCUCCCCGGAGAGCGCUGGGUCUCAGGAGUGCUGGAGGUGUGCGAGAAUACCGAAGAUAAAGUCCAUAGAACUCAAAAAGGUCAACAAGCUGAGGGACGCAAGGGCCCUCAGUGGCACUUGGGAGGGAGAAGAAAGCAACCAUAAGGGGGCUGGAGAGAUGGCUCAGCGGUUAAGAGCACCCGACUACUCUUCCAGUGGUCCUGAGUUCAAUUCCCAGCAACCACAUGGUGGCUCACAACCAUCUGUAAGGAGAUCUGAUGCCCUCUUCUG
ensembl:lncRNA